rnacentral:rRNA from 1 species
UACGUAGGGUCCGAGCGUUGUCCGGAAUUAUUGGGCGUAAAGGGCGCGUAGGCGGCCUGACAAGUGGAAGGUGAAAUCCCCCGGCUCAACCGGGGAACUGCCGCGGAUACUGGGUGCCUCGAGGGUGGUAGGGGUAUGCGGAACUAUCGGUGGAGCGGUGAAAUGCGUUGAUAUCGAUAGGAACUCCGGUGGCGAAGGCGGCAUACUGGACCACCUCUGACGCUGAGGCGCGAAAGCCAGGGGAGCAAACGGGG